GUCGACAUAUAAAUACGAGGGUCACUCUGGUGGCGAGGAAUCCACAUCCAAGGAGACACAUUGAGGCGAUUUCACUCUUUGCUGACCUUUAGAGUAAAGAUGAUGGUGAAGGUGGUAAUGCUCUUGGUGAUUGUUGCGGUGGCGUCUGCUACAAUACAAACCAUCGAACAUGGCAAUCCUUACGAUGCAGCGAUGAAUAGUGGACAUCCAGUGAUUGGCGACAACUACGACUUUCCAUGGAAGCGUCACGAACACCGUCCGAUGAAGUGUUACUGCAGAUGGAUCUAUACAUAAACUGGGAGUACGGAUGAAUUAUAUGGAAGGGUAAACUCGUCAUAAACCAAAACCCAACGUAACGUCAUUAUAAAAACGUGUAAACAGAGCUAUUAUCGUGGUGUGUGUUUGGCUCUCUUUUUACAGUUUAUUUACAUCUUUAUCUUACUAUGAGAGUAGGCUGAAUUUAGUCUGGACAACCCCAUCUGAAUGUAGUUUUAUCCAUUUUUGUUGAAACUUCUCAGAUGUAGUCAGCAUCGGCAAAGUUGUUGUCUGCCUCAAAUCUUUUGUAGAUUCAUAACAUAUGAACAAUAAAGGUCGUGCAUCAGUGUGUACUGUUUGCUGCUAUUUCGCCCAUUUUUUAUUUCCAUUUUUUUUUUCAGAUUACAAUUCUGACAGAUCCAAAUCCGCAUGAAGAUGCAUAAUUUGACAACAAAAGUAACAUUCGUAUCUUAGAGAUUUAUUAAUCAUGAAUAAAAGCUUGCAAUACAA